CUACGGGGCGCUCCAGUGAGGAAUAUUGCACAAUGGGGGGAACCCUGAUGCAGCAACGCCGCGUGGAGGAUGACGCAUUUCGGUGUGUAAACUCCUUUUAUAUGUCAAGAAAAUGACGGUAGCAUAUGAAUAAGCACCGGCUAACUCCGUGCCAGCAGCCGCGGUAAUACGGGGGGUGCAAGCGUUACUCGGAAUCACUGGGCGUAAAGGACGCGUAGGCGGGUUGGAAAGUCAGGUGUGAAAUCCUACAGCUUAACUGUAGAACUGCACUUGAAACUUCUAAUCUAGAGUCUGGGAGGGGGAGAUGGAAUUAGUGGUGUAGGGGUAAAAUCCGUAGAUAUCACUAGGAAUACCUAAAGCGAAGGCGAUCUCCUGGAACAUUACUGACGCUAAGGCGUGAAAGCGUGGGGAGCAGACAGGAUUAGAUACCCCAGUAGUC
rnacentral:rRNA from 1 species